rnacentral:rRNA from 1 species
GCGCGAAAACUUUACAAUGCUGGCAACAGCGAUAAGGGAACCUCGAGUGCCAGGUUACAAAUCUGGCUGUCGAGAUGCCUAAAAAGCAUUUCAUAGCAAGGGCCGGGCAAGACCGGUGCCAGCCGCCGCGGUAACACCGGCGGCUCGAGUGGUAACCGUUAUUAUUGGGUCUAAAGGGUCUGUAGCCGGCCGGAUAAGUCUCUUGAGAAAUCUGGCAGCUUAACUGUCAGGCUUUCAGGAGAUACUGUCUGGCUCGAGGCCGGGAGAGGUGAGAGGUACUUCAGGGGUAGGGGUGAAAUCUUGUAAUCCUUGAAGGACCACCAGUGGCGAAGGCGGCUCACCAGAACGGACCUGACGGCAAGGGACGAGAGCUAGGGGCACGAACCG